rnacentral:rRNA from 1 species
GACGAACGCUGGCGGCGUGCCUAAUACAUGCAAGUAGAACGCUGAAGGAGGAGCUUGCUUCUCCGGAUGAGUUGCGAACGGGUGAGUAACGCGUAGGUAACCUGCCUGGUAGCGGGGGAUAACUAUUGGAAACGAUAGCUAAUACCGCAUAAGAGUAGAUGUCGCAUGACAUUUGCUUAAAAGGUGCAACUGCACCACUACCAGAUGGACCUGCGUUGUAUUAGCUAGUUAGUGAGGUAACGGCUCACCAAGGCAACGAUACAUAGCCGACCUGAGAGGGUGAUCGGCCACACUGGGACUGAGACACGGCCCAGACUCCUACGGGAGGCAGCAGUAGGGAAUCUUCGGCAAUGGACGGAAGUCUGACCGAGCAACGCCGCGUGAGUGAAGAAGGUUUUCGGAUCGUAAAGCUCUGUUGUAAGAGAAGAACGAGUGUGAGAGUGGAAAGUUCACACUGUGACGGUAUCUGACCAGAAAGGGACGGCUAACUACGUG